rnacentral:tRNA from 1 species
GUCUCAAUAGCAUUGUGGUUAGUGCACAGCCCCGGAAAGGUUGAUACGCGGGUUCGAUUUCGGCAUGGGAUG